CGAGACGUAGCUUAACUUAAAGCAUUUCGCUUACAUCGAAAAAAUAUAUGUGAAAAUCAAAUCAUCUCGA
rnacentral:tRNA from 1 species